GGUUUUUAAAUUUUAAAUUUUGAUUUUGUAAUUUGCAUUGCGAAAUUUUGUUGGGGAGAAUUUCAGUAAAAACCAUUUACUUUUAUCUCCAACGAAAUCUUUUUCAAAUGACUUACGAAAUGUGCUACUCUGCAUCCUUACAAUUCCCAGAUUGUCUGCAGAUCUCGCGAUCGUAGCAUUAUACUGUGGAGUACGCCAGCCACAUCUUGCAACAUCCUCGACUGCCAUCAGAACUGGGUUCGCCGUUUGCCACUCGUUCGGAUCUUCUGACCAUGUCGGCCGGUUGGGAUAAGGUGCUACUUUUUUGACAGAUUUGUGGGCUCGUACGUGUUUGGCUUGUGCGUGUUUGUCUUCCGCGUGAAUUUUUCGUAUCGGAUCCUGUUUACUACCUAGCGAUGCUGUGGUUCCACUUUUCAUCGCAUCGCUGCGCAGCCUUUCAUUAUAUUGCGUCGCCAUUAUCAAGUUAACCGGGGGAAGUUCCUCUCUGCUCUUUCUCUUUUGACGGAAUCACCAAGAGCUGCCGUCGACGACGUAUAACGGACGAAAAAAUGGUCUAAGAAUGGAUCCGUUGUCUUGUGAAUUUGUAUAAUACCGAGAGUCUCGAGUUUUUGUUGACACUUCAAGAGAAAGAAGAAAAGCGUUUGCGUGAGAAAGGAACCCGCUAUCUUGACAAGUUUGAGGAUCUGCUCCCGUAUGCUGGAACGUCCGUUGGCCGGAGCCUUACUUCAAGCCGUGCGGAACUGUCCACUUCAACCACAAGUCCACAACUGAAUUUGAACUGCAACGAAAGCUUCUGCAUCUCAACGCAAUUAAGGCAAAGAUCAGUGAACUGGAUAAAAAGAAGGUGGUAGCCGAUAAAAAAAUUAAUUUUGAAUUGAAACAUGAUGUCAAAAAUGUGAUUGGGUUGGGUAAUAUGGUAAAAUUCGAAGCCCAUUGGAAGAAUACGCAGCGCUGAAUGUUGUCGAUAAACCUAAGUCGUGUUUUUUUAUUGUUCGACCUGAUCAAAAGCAUGCUUGCUCUGCGGCGGGGUGCCACAAAAUGUGAUUGUUAGUUUCAAUAAAGAUGCUUUCAGUUA